rnacentral:lncRNA from 1 species
AUGGAGCAAGUCACAGUCGUCGAUGCCAGCUUCUUCUUGAAAUCUACCCAGAAUGGAAUCCUGACAAUGAUACAGGACACACAAUGGGUGAUCCAUUCAUGUUGCAGCAGUCUACAAAUCCAGCACCAGGAAUUCUGGGACCUCCACCUCCCUCGUUUCAUCUUGGGGGACCAGCAGUUGGACCAAGAGGAAAUCUGGGUGCUGGAAAUGGAAACCUGCAAGGACCUAGACACAUGCAAAAAGGCAGAGUGGUCAGUAAUGAAUGAAGCUUUUGCUUUUACUGUAUUUACGAUUUUGGGGAAUAUGAUUUGUCCUAAAUCCUUACUAGUUGAAUAUGUAUCAUGGUCCGUAUGGGAUGAUUGCUAUAAUUUGAAAACCGUCAGGUUUUUAUAUGGCUUUGAUAAUAAUUAA